rnacentral:rRNA from 1 species
GAUUGCCUCAGUAACGGCGAGUGAAGCGGCAACAGCUCAAAUUUGAAAGCUGGCCCCCCCCGGGGGUCCGCGUUGUAAUUUGUAGAGGAUGAUUCGGCGAGGGCUCCCGCCUAAGUCCCCUGGAACGGGGCGUCAUAGAGGGUGAGAAUCCCGUAUGCGGUGGGCUGCCUUAGCCAUGUGAAUCUCCUUCGACGAGUCGAGUUGUUUGGGAAUGCAGCUCUAAAUGGGAGGUAAAUUUCUUCUAAAGCUAAAUACCGGCCAGAGACCGAUAGCGCACAAGUAGAGUGAUCGAAAGAUGAAAAGCACUUUGGAAAGAGAGUUAAAAAGUACGUGAAAUUGUUGAAAGGGAAGCGCUUGCAGCCAGACUUGCCCGCAGUUGCUCAGCCGGUCUCCUGACCGGCGCACUCUUCUGCGGCCAGGCCAGCAUCAGUUCGGGCGGUCGGAUAAAGGCCCCGGGAACGUAGCUCCUCUCGGGGAGUGUUAUAGCCCGGGGUGGAAUGCGGCCAGCCUGGACUGAGGAUCUCGCUUCGGCUAGGAUGCUGGCGUAAUGGCUG